rnacentral:rRNA from 1 species
AGUGAACGCUGGCGGUAGGCCUAACACAUGCAAGUCGAACGGCAGCACAGUAAGAGCUUGCUCUUACGGGUGGCGAGUGGCGGCCGGGUGAGGAAUACAUCGGAAUCUACUUUUUCGUGGGGGAUAACGUAGGGAAACUUACGCUAAUACCGCAUACGACCUACGGGUGAAAGCAGGGGAUCUUCGGACCUUGCGCGAUUGAAUGAGCCGAUGUCGGAUUAGCUAGUUGGCGGGGUAAAGGCCCACCAAGGCGACGAUCCGUAGCUGGUCUGAGAGGAUGAGCAGCCACACUGGAACUGAGACACGGUCCAGACUCCUACGGGAGGCAGCAGUGGGGAAUAUUGGACAAUGGGCGCAAGCCUGAUCCAGCCAUACCGCGUGGGUGAAGAAGGCCUUCGGGUUGUAAAGCCCUUUUGUUGGGAAAGAAAAGCAGCAGGUUAAGACCCCGCUGUUCUGACGGUACCCAAAGAAUAAGCACCGGCUAACUUCGUG